rnacentral:rRNA from 1 species
UUGAUGGUCCCUCAACUACUUGGAUACCCGUGGUAAUUCUAGAGCUAAUACAUGCAUCAAUACCCAACUUUGUGGAAAGGGUGUGUUUUUUUAAUACAUAACCAACCCAUGUUCCGCGUGGUCUUUUGGUGAUUCAUAAAAUCCUAGAAGAUCCUGUGUCUCCCGCUGGCGAUGAAUCAUUCAUUUUUCCCACUUAUCUUUUUCGGAGGGUGGGUUGUGGUCCUACCGGGUUAAUGAGGGAAAACUUAUAAUUGGGGUACUUUUCCGAAGAGGGAGCCUAAAAAACGGCUACAUCUUCUAAGGAAGGCAGGCGGGCCAAAAAUUCCCCAUUCCGGCCGGGGGGAGGUGAGAACAAAAAAUAACACGGGGGGGCUUCUGUGUCUUGGAAUUGGAAGAGAAAAACUUUAAAUCCCUUUACCAGUUCAAUUUGGGGGGGAAUUCUGGGU